rnacentral:rRNA from 1 species
GCCAGGGCUACUUACUUCCCGCACCCCCCGUUAUUACGUAGGUUGCCAGGUUUUUCGGAAUAUUGGGCGUAAAGGGCUUGCAGCCCGUUUCUUAAGUCUGAUGUGAAAGCCCCCCGCUCAACCGGGGAGGGUCUUUGGAAACUGGGAAACUUGAGUGCAGAAGAGGAGAGUGGAAUUCCACGUGUAGCGGUGAAAUGCGUAGAGAUGUGGAGGAACACCAGUGGCGAAGGCGACUCUCUGGUCUGUAACUGCGCUGAGGAGCGAAAGCGUGGGGAGCGAACAGGAUUAGAUACCCUGGUAGUCCACGCCGUAAACGAUGAGUGCUAAGUGUUAGGGGGUUUCCGCCCCUUAUUGCUGCAGCUAACGCAUUAAGCACUCCGCCUGGGGAGUACGGUCGCAAGACUGAAACUCAAAGGAAUUGACGGGGGCCCGCACAAGCGGUGGAGCAUGUGGUUUAAUUCGAAGCAACGCGAAGAACCUUACCAGGUCUUGACAUCCUCUGACAACCCUAGAGAUAGGGCUUUCCCUUCGGGGACAGAGUGACAGGUGGUGCAUGGUUGUCGUCAGCUCGUGUCGUGAGAUGUUGGGUUAAGUCCCGCAACGAGCGCAACCCUUGAUCUUAGUUGCCAGCAUUCAGUUGGGCACUCUAAGGUGACUGCCGGUGACAAACCGGAGGAAGGUGGGGAUGACGUCAAAUCAUCAUGCCCCUUAUGACCUGGGCUACACACGUGCUACAAUGGACAGAACAAAGGGCUGCGAGACCGCAAGGUUUAGCCAAUCCCACAAAUCUGUUCUCAGUUCGGAUCGCAGUCUGCAACUCCAAUCCACAAACCCCAAACACUAACACUCAAACUGGCGCCGUCUAGCAGGCGUCUGCCCAAAAAUAAAUG